rnacentral:rRNA from 1 species
CGGGGGGAGCAAGCGUUGUUCGGAUUUACUGGGCGUAAAGGGCGCGUAGGCGGCCAGCACAAGUCAGUUGUGAAAUCUCCGAGCUUAACUCGGAAAGGUCAACUGAUACUGUGCGGCUAGAGUGCGGAAGGGGCAACUGGAAUUCUUGGUGUAGCGGUGAAAUGCGUAGAUAUCAAGAGGAACACCUGCGGCGAAGGCGGGUUGCUGGGCCGACACUGACGCUGAGGCGCGAAAGCCAGGGGAGCGAACGGGAUUAGAUACCCCGGUAGUCCUGGCCUUAAACGAUGAAUGCUUGGUGUCUGGGGUUAUAAAGUCCCCGGGUGCCGUCGCUAACGCUUUAAGCAUUCCGCCUGGGGAGUACGGUCGCAAGACUG